rnacentral:tRNA from 1 species
GCCUCUGUAUAGCUCAGUUGGUUAGAGCGCUGCACCGGAAUUGCAGGGCCGUAGGUUCAAUUCCUACCAGAGGAC